UGUUCUGUAGCUUAGUUGGUUAAAGCGCCGGACUAGCGAUAACGGAGUCGUGGGUUCGAAUCCCAACAAAACAA
rnacentral:tRNA from 1 species